rnacentral:rRNA from 1 species
GAUGAACGCUGGCGGCGUGCCUAAUACAUGCCAGUCGAGCGAACGGACGAGAAUCUUGCUCCUCUGAUGUUAGCGGCGGACGGGUGAGUAACACGUGGAUAACCUACCUAUAAGACUGGGAUAACUUCGGGAAACCGGAGCUAAUACCGGAUGAUAUUUUGAACCGCAUGGUUCAAUAGUGAAAGACGGUCUUGCUGUCACUUAUAGAUGGCUCCGCGCCGCAUUACAUAGUUGGGAAGGUAACGGCUUACCAAGGCAAGAAUGCAUAGCCGCCCUGAGAGGGUGACCGCCGCCACUGCAACGGAGACAGAGCCCAGAUUCCUGAGGAACGCAGUGGUAGGGAUCCGUAGGCUAAGGGGGAAGGCCUGCCGGAGGAACGCCGCGUGAGUGACGAUGGCCUCCGUCUGGCAAACAGAGGUUAUGGGGGAAGAGGAGACGUGUAAGUAACGCUGCACAUCCUGACGGUAUCUAAAGAGAAAGCAACGGCUAACUACGUG